rnacentral:sRNA from 1 species
CCCUCCCCACUUUUUCUCGCAGCAACUAUUUUUUUUUAAAUUUACAUAUAAAAAAAUGAAUUAUCAUGAAGAUGGCCCUCACCCUUUUGGGAGCAUGUAAAAAAUUGAUGUGAAAAUAAGGUAGUUAGGAUUGAAAUUGAAGUAUUACAUAUAUACUACGCCACCCCCACCCCCACCCCCACACCCGCCACCACCACGGAUUAGGAUUUUGAAGGUUUCCUUUUUUUUUAAUUUUGAUUGUCAAGAUUUUUUGGAUGAAUCAGGCCUCAGGAUCAUGAAGCAUUUUUAGACUUAAGUCUAAAUUGCAAUCUUUUAUAAAAUUAUUAAAUGUCAUAAUAUUACCCUUAAACUUUGUAACUAUCAACAUAAUAUAGAGACACUUUCCAAUUGCAUUUCAAGACAAUAAGACAGUGUAUAAAAUUUGACUUGUCUAAGACUGCUUCAUGGUCUUGGGGCCUGGUCCCUCCCUUUCAAAAACGAUGCUACGGGCCUGUACUACGUGCCUGUACUAUGUAGCCUAAACAAUCUUAUGCAAAUUUUAUGUCAUUUUUUUUCUUAGGUAUUAAAGGGUUGUACUCCUUUUGUUUUUGUUAUAUAUGCAUGCCUCAGAGUUUCACAUUUCUCUUUGUAUAGUGAUGAAGAAUCUGUCUUUUUGCAAAAGACGACAAAUUGUUUGAAAUAAAAGUAGUGUAAGG